AGGGGAGGACUUAGACUCAAGAAAGGAUGAGAAAAGAUAUAAAAGAAGGGUAAGGUCCACCGCCCAGCGCCAAUUCCAACGCCGAGCGCCAGCUUCGAGGAGGAAGCCACUGUUUGACGCCUGAGCGGUGACGCUAAGUGUCCUACGAUUAUGAGACCCAACGCUGAGCACCAGGUUCCACCGCUGAGCGUCAGGUUCCACCGCUGAGCGUCCUGUGAUUAUAGGGGCUACCACUGAGCAGUCAAAUGAACGCUAAGCGCCUAAUGAUGGGCCUGGGCC
rnacentral:lncRNA from 1 species